AAUGCGAAAUCCGAAAAGCAUAAAGAGUAGGAA
rfam:Chryseobacterium gambrini strain DSM 18014 genome assembly, contig: Ga0111674_111